rnacentral:rRNA from 1 species
GCGGCAGGCUUAACACAUGCAAGUCGAGGGGUAUAGUAGCAAUACUAGAGACCGGCGCACGGGUGCGUAACGCGUAUGCAACCUACCUUGAACAGGGGGAUAGCCCAGAGAAAUUUGGAUUAAUACCCCAUGGUAUAUUGAUGUGGCAUCACAUUAUUAUUAAAGUUCCAACGGUUCAAGAUGGGCAUGCGUCCCAUUAGCUAGAUGGUAAGGUAACGGCUUACCAUGGCGACGAUGGGUAGGGGUCCUGAGAGGGAGAUCCCCCACACUGGUACUGAGACACGGACCAGACUCCUACGGGAGGCAGCAGUGAGGAAUAUUGGUCAAUGGGCGCAAGCCUGAACCAGCCAUGCCGCGUGCAGGAAGAAGGCCUUCUGGGUUGUAAACUGCUUUUGCCAGGGGAUAAAAAGCUCAUGCGUGAGAAAUUGAAGGUACCUGGUGAAUAAGCCACGGCUAACUACGUG